rnacentral:rRNA from 1 species
CUGCCGGCGACCGGCGCACGGGUGAGUAACACGUAUGCAACCUGCCCUCCGCAGGGGAUAACCCGGAGAAAUCCGGACUAAUACCCCGUGACGCCACCGGAGGGCAUCCUCCGGUGGCCAAAGGAGCGAUCCGGUGGCGGAUGGGCAUGCGGCGCAUUAGCUAGACGGCGGGGUGACGGCCCACCGUGGCGACGAUGCGUAGGGGUUCUGAGAGGAAGGCCCCCCACACUGGGACUGAGACACGGCCCAGACUCCUACGGGAGGCAGCAG